AGCGCUUGGCAGCCCAUCGUCCAGAUUGUGGCUGAAGCUGAAUUUUAUGAGCCUUCCCCCAAAAAACUGGAAGAUUUUGCCAUCUUACAAGCCCUCUUCCUUAAGAAAGAGAAAGAUGAGCAGUAAAUAUCCUCUGGCACGUCGGCACAUUCUGUCUCUUCGUGUUUUCAUGAAGUGUUCAUGACAUGGGAUUGAAGUACUCCUUUGUGUUCAGUAUUUGAUAUCAAAUCCUUUACAAAAAAUAUUUUCAAAUUGUCAUAUGAAGACUCAACAAAAAGAAAAACAGAGAAGAAGGAGGAAAAGAAGAAGAAAGAAGAAUAAAAAGAAAGAGAUAAAGAAAUAAACAAACAAAAUAAAAAGGCAAGAAACAGAACGGAAAUGGAGAGGAGAGCCCAGCAUGACUUGCGCCGUGCCAAAGGAAUACGUGUGCAGAAGGGGUGAUGCCUGACCUACACACCCGGCAAUACCAGAAGUUUCACUACCUUCCGUUGGUAAACGCUUCAGGGAAGGCUCUGCAACCCUGAACGUGUUUUAUUGUAGAACCUCACUAGGAAACUCAUCAGUAUUUAUUAAAGAUGAAUUAAAAGAAGGAGGAAAAGGAAAAACGGGAUAGUGAAGAGAAUAGAUGAAUGAAAAAGAAGCAAAGGGAAGAGAGGAGGAAGGGACAAAGAGGGCAAGAAAAGAGAAAAGAGAGAUGAGAGACCAGGACUUCCCACCUAACCUUACCAAACUUUUUCAGUUGAGCUUUUAAUGGGAUACUAUUCCCAAGAGGAAAUUCAAAAAGAAAACCACCUUGAAACAUCCUUGCUUUUAAUUGUACUCUUUCAACUGCCAGGAAAUUAAUUAGGUAAGACAAAAAGAAAAUUUUCUACCUUAAUAAAAAGAAGCCAACACCCAGGAACAACUGUCUUUGCUUGAGAACAGUGUUACGUGUACAAAGCUGCCUACAAAGUGUCUCCCGCCUGGCUCAGGCAAGAAACUGGGACAGAAGUCUGUGAUGUUAUACCAGCCUGGGAGUCGUGCAUGGUCAUGUCAGUGUCGAGUGCACCAGGCGACACAGGGACAUGCCAGGCACCGCUCCUCCAGAGAGACUUGCCAGGUAUACAUGUUACCUCUCUCCCUUAGGCUUCACAGACUCGGCGGCCUUCCUCCAACCACCUGUCUCCUUAGGAAGUUUGAGAGAACUUUCUCCUCUGUGAUACAAACAGUAACCAAACAAAGCAGUAAACAAUCCAGUGUGGAAAGCACAUACUAAAGCUAAGAUUUAAUGUCACUGAAAUAAAAUCAUAACAACAAAAAA
rnacentral:lncRNA from 1 species